rnacentral:lncRNA from 1 species
UCUCUCGCCUCUCCAUCUCUCCCUUGAUUUCCUCUAUCCCUCUCAAUCCCCUCAUUUUUUCUCUACAAAUAAAGUCCUCCCAAUGAUACGCCUCUGGGACUGUUGCCAUUAUUACUAGUGGUGGCUUCCAGUUGUGAUAAAAAGUUGCUCAUGAGGAAUCCUAAUUUGCAAAUUCGAUGCACUAUGAUGCAAAUUAGUUGGGGCUUUUUGUGCUAAUGCAUUGCUGGUAGGAUUAUGAACAAAAUCCCUAACCCAAUUUAAAUUUUCAACAACUCCGGCGGUGGCAGCACCUUGACAAAAACUUAAAGAAAGAAAUGUUCACCAUUGACAAAACUUUAUGUUUUUGCUUCUUUCCUUUGAUCUACUUUGAAAAAAAGAAUUAAUUGAGAAAUCAAUCAUGGGAUAGAGAGUUGUUGCAUUUGUUGUUUUGGUAGAUUUUGUGGGGGUUAGGGGUGGUUAAUUGAGGAGUUCUUAAAGUGGGUUUAAGGGGUUUUUAUUGUUUCUUUGGUGUUGGUAAAUCUGGUUCUUCAAUUAUGAUCACCACUGUAAAGUUGAGAGGUAGCAACAAAAAGAUUAUUCCUGAAAAGCACUAUUUUUUUCUUUUGUUGGACAAUUUUUGACGGUUCUUCAAGUAUUUCGUUCACCUGUAUGUCUGUGUUUGAGCUUUGGUUAUUGUUGAAUAUGAUGAUGAUCUCAGAAUUACUCAAUUCAUAACAGCUGGUGAUUAGAUUCUUGUUGUUUGUUUGAAAAAUUAUGAAGAGAGAAUCGAAGAAGAAAGAUUCUUGUUGUUUGUUUAGAAAAAAUUGAGAAGUAAGAAUAGAAGAAAAAAGAAAAACCACAUCCUUUGUUUGUUUGUUUCUUGUUGAUUCUUCAUCUUCAUCUUCUGAUUCUUAUUGGUUGUG